rnacentral:sRNA from 1 species
ACAUUACGACCACAUCUUGGACAGCAAUGCGUUUUUAAUGAAACAAUCUGUGUCAUUCUGGGAGGGAUUUCUGACAUACCCAUGACACUUUUAUGAUACAUCGCAACACCAAAUAGUUUUAUGGAUAAAUGACAAUGAAUUUAUUCACAUUAACUGGCAUAGAUUAAAAUGUAGCGACAAAUAAGUUACAAAUUGAGAAAAGUAUAUAAGCAUGUAUGAAAGAUUGACAAACAAAUAAAAAAAUAUUGCUUGCUC